rnacentral:lncRNA from 1 species
UAAUUUGAUGCUUGAUAUAAACAAUAGAUAUGAAUAUAUCUUUCUAACGAUCACAACAACCAACAUUUAAAGAAUAUCUUCCAUGUCUCCACAAAUAUCUUAUAAGAAUCCGAAGAGUAAUUAGUCAUAGUUAUAAUCAUGAAAUGGUAAGUAUUACAUGUAUACAAGGAAUAUCCUUCAUGUACCAUUUCCAGUAAAUAUUCAACAUUGAUACAACAAGGAAUUCAAAGUCUGCAUGUUUCCAUAGCCUCUCCUUCUCAAACGCGAGCUACCAGCAUCAUGAGCUAGGGUUAACAUUUUUUUGUCUUCCUCCUCUUCCCACUCCUAAUCCCCUAUGUCUUCUUCUCUUUUUCCUAUCAUCUUCUCCUCUUCUUCUACCUGUUCUACUCUUCUCCUUCCUCACCUCUCUAUCAAUCUGAAUCAGUGGGUAGGACUAUGCCAGAUCUCAGUAUAUCAGCAGAUUGAAUCAAAUUCAGCUGUCAUUUGUCAACUAAGUCUAUUGCAAUUCCAAGAUCACACCAAGAAAUAAUCAUUGCAGUACUCUAACCAUCCAAAUCAGAUUGGUUCAAUGGAACCACGAAACCAUGUCAUGGAAACAAAUUCAGGCAAGUUAAUAGAUCAUGUGUACAUGAUUAACUUAGAUAAAAAGAUACCAUAAGCCACGCGUGUGAUAAAAUAUUUAACCUAUUAGCACCAACAAACAUUGGAGAACAGAUAUCUGAAGAGAAGUUUUACCAGUUCCUUCUAUGAACAACAACUAUAUGAUUUGUAAUCACUAAGAAAAAAUAUUUCAUAAUCUUCACAAUAACGAAAUAUUACCUAAACUACAAAAGCUGGGAUAAAAUAGAAGUUAAUAAGUUAAAAUGUUAUAACAGCUAUAUAAGAUAAAAGUAGUGAUGUUCCUAAUAAUGAGACCGUUAAAAUAAAAUGAAGCAUUUCUUUUUGACAAAACAAGCAAAUGGACCUACCUCAGUGCGGGAUGAGUAGUUAUGAAAACCACAAUUACAUAUCCAGUCACCAUAGCGCCAGUCUUUUGGUGCUGGAAGAAGCUCACUUGGGUUGCCUGAAAACGAAUAUUGACCUCUACUAUUUUGAGUGAAGGAGUAAU